UCCUGAAUUAUUUAUUUACACAAUGAUGUCCCCCUGGAUUGAGUGGAAUGAUGUCAUAUGUAUAUGCUCCGUCCCAAUUCAGUCUCAAUGCAUAUCUCUUUUGCUCAAAGAGUUUUAUUUUUUUUUCUUUUUAACAGACAUGGUAAUGGAAGGGUAUAAGGAACGAAAUAAGGUUACUCAUUAUUUGACAUAUAGUGUUAAACCCUUUGAAGUAGAAAUUUUUGCUUUGACCUUUAGUGAAGAACAGCCCGCCUAAAUGAGACAGGUGUUUUUAUUGUGACAUCUCAGACUUCAUAAUGACACAGCUGCUGUCGAGCCUGACUCAUCUCUGCACAGCACAGGUGAGCUUCAACUUAAACAUACUAAUGAGUUCAUGCAAUAAUCAUUGUCUGCUCACAGCGAAGACAGUGCUGCUGUUUUGUGAUUAUCUAAGUGAGAGAAAGAAGUGGUGUCAGAGAUCCUGCUGUGCAGGAAUUCAGAUGAAACCAUCAUUUCCUUUCGUAUGUGUUACCAAUAAAGAUGCUGCAGCACUGGAGAAGGCAUCAAAUUGAGCCAAGGGGAAGGCUGGCCCAAACAAGUGUCUUGGAAACCGAAAAGUGAAGAGAUGUGUUUGUUCCUGCUGCCUUCAGGAGAGGAGAUGUUUGUGAGAGAUGCACACAAAUAACACCGUGAUAAACACUCUUUCUUGAUUUUCCCUCUGGAUAAAAACUAUACAGAAAAGCUAA